GGGGGCGUAGCGCAGGCCGGUAGCGCGUCUGCUUUGGGAGCAGAAGGUCGGAGGUUCGAGUCCUCUCGCCCCCA
rnacentral:tRNA from 1 species